rnacentral:rRNA from 1 species
AACGAACGCUGGCGGCAGGCCUAACACAUGCAAGUCGAACGCACUCUUCGGAGUGAGUGGCAGACGGGUGAGUAACGCGUGGGAACCUACCCAGGGGUUCGGAAUAACGCAGGGAAACUUGUGCUAAUACCGAAUACGCCUUGCGAGGGAAAGAUUUAUCGCCCCUGGACGGGCCCGCGUCGGAUUAGCUUGUUGGUGGGGUAAUGGCCCACCAAGGCUACGAUCCGUAGCUGGUCUGAGAGGAUGAUCAGCCACACUGGAACUGAGACACGGUCCAGACUCCUACGGGAGGCAGCAGUGGGGAAUCUUGCACAAUGGGCGAAAGCCUGAUGCAGCCAUGCCGCGUGAGUGAAGAAGGCCUUAGGGUUGUAAAGCUCUUUCGCCUGUGAAGAUAAUGACGGUAGCAGGUAAAGAAACCCCGGCUAACUCCGUG